rnacentral:rRNA from 1 species
GACGAACGCUGGCGGCGUGCUUAACACAUGCAAGUCGAACGGAAAGGCCCUGCUUUUGUGGGGUGCUCGAGUGGCGAACGGGUGAGUAACACGUGAGUAACCUGCCCUUGACUUUGGGAUAACUUCAGGAAACUGGGGCUAAUACCGGAUAGGAGCUCCUGCCGCAUGGUGGGGGUUGGAAAGGUUCGGAGGUUGGGGAUGGACUCGCGGCUUAUCAGCUUGUUGGUGGGGUAGUGGCUUACCAAGGCUUUGACGGGUAGCCGGCCUGAGAGGGUGACCGGCCACAUUGGGACUGAGAUACGGCCCAGACUCCGACGGGAGGCAGCAGUGGGGAAUGUGGCACAAUGGGCGGAAGCCUGAUGCAGCAACGCGGCGUGCGGGAUGACGGCAUUCGGGUUGUAAACCGCUUUCGUCUGUGACGAAGCGUGAGUGACGGUAAUGGGUAAAGAAGCACCGGCUAACUACGUG